UACGAAGGGGCUAGCGUUGCUCGGAAUCACUGGGCGUAAAGGGCGCGUAGGCGGCCAUUCAAGUCAGGGGUGAAAGCCUGUGGCUCAACCACAGAAUUGCCUUUGAUACUGUUUGGCUAGAGACCGGAAGAGGUAAGUGGAACUGCGAGUGUAGAGGUGAAAUUCGUAGAUAUUCGCAAGAACACCAGUGGCGAAGGCGGCUUACUGGUCCGGUUCUGACGCUGAGGCGCGAAAGCGUGGGGAGCAAACAGG
rnacentral:rRNA from 1 species